rnacentral:rRNA from 1 species
CCUACGGGAGGCAGCAGUAGGGAAUCUUCCGUCAAUGGAGGAAAGUCUGACGGAGCAACGCCGCGUGAGUGAUGAAGGCUCUUCGGAUUCUGUAAAGCUCUGUUGUUAGGGAAGAACAAGUGACUGGAGUAACAUGACCUGGACCUUGACGGUACCUAAACAGAAAGCCACGGCUCAACUACAUGCCAGCAGCCGCGGUAAU